GUGCUUAUCGGGUUACCCGAUAACGACCCGUUUCGUUAUCGUGUCGACCUGAACACCUGUUAAUUUCGUGUCGUGUCGUGUCGGGUUAUCGGGUCGUGUCAGGAAUUGCCAGGCCUAGAUAUGACAUGUAAGCACAAUUGACUCAUAGCAUCUCCAAUGAAUCAAUGAUGUAGAAAAACAAAAUAAGUAAAACUGUACCAUACAGACUUAUGUAGCAUGUUGUCUACUCAUUUCCCUAGUGAAAGUGUGUAUUAUUUUCUUCAACCAUUUUGUUAGCUGUUCACCAAAAAGAUAAAUGGUACAACCUAAUUGACGGAUCACAGAGAAUAUUUUAUAACAGAAGGAUGUGGGCGCUGUUUGCCUACUCAUGUUGAAGCAAUAUUGUCUAAUUUGGAAGAAUAUGCAAAUUUUGUCUAUUUAAUUGCCCAAUCCCUUCACUAUUAGAGCAACAAUUUAUUUAUUUGGCUCAUCAAAUAAAGUUUGCCUACCCAUUUGGCUAUAUUAUUGAAGAUGCUCUUACAUUUUUGUUCUGAAGUUUGGAAUUUAUAUCAUGUGCAGUAAUGGGAGAAAUGACUUGACUUGCUUGAAAACUAAUGAAAAUGGCUUGAAAAUUUUGAGUUUUAAUGAUAAGGACAAAA
rnacentral:lncRNA from 1 species